UCUCCAUUUCAUACACAAAGAACGGAGCUUCACAGUGGUUAAGUAACUUGGCUGAACUUACACCAGCAUGAAGAUUCAAAUUCCAGUCCAAAACUUAUGGAAAUAUCUAUUAGAGAAGCCUGUAUUAGUUCUCUACCAGAUAUAUUUUCCUAGAUUCAGAAAAGCCUGAAUUUGCAAAAAGUUUGUUUCGAUCAUCAUAGGCAAGGUGAAAUAGAAAGUCGAAGAAAUCAUCUCGGUCAUUACGAGUCCUCAAGUAGUUGCUUUUUGUACUUUGAAUAAAGACUUUAGUCAUAGUAGGAGAGAUAGACUGUAAUGGACUUACUUCACGAUGGCUGCACCAGAGGUUCCAAGAACGAUGGCUUUCAACUUCAACCCACAUCUAAAACACACCACUGUAGCCACACCCUACACCCUGUGGUUAUCCAGUUGUGAGUCCUAUUGGAGAGAUGAGAUUUAACUAGAUGACCAUGACCAUGAAGAACUUCUCAAGCUCUUUGGUUCUACAGGUGUAUGACAGUUUCCUGGAGGGGGUCAUAUGGAUCUACUACUACCUUCCCACUGACAUUAGGCAGAUGUUCAUUAGAUUGGUUUGAUAGAUGUAAUGGUUAAUAUUGAGUGUCAACUUGAUUGGAUUGAAGGAUGCAAAGUAUUGU
rnacentral:lncRNA from 1 species